AUGGACGUCAAGUACCCCAACGGCUCCGUCAAGAAGGUGAGGCAGGCGGCCGUGGCGCCGGGGGUGGAAGAGGUGACGUACAUGGAGUGUGGCAGAAACCACGCACUGGCUAGCGGUGGGCACGUCAUGGACGGCUGCGGGGAGUGGAUGCCUUUGGGGGACCACAACCCCGCCGACGCGUCGUCGUACAAGUGUGCGGCCUGUGGCUGCCACCGCAACUUCCACCGCAAGAGUACGACUCGGAAGGCACGGAGUAUGACGACGAGCGCUCCGUGUCCCGACCACUGCAGCCUCCACCCGCGUACCAUCCGGCGCCGGUGGCGUAGCAGCCGCCGGCGUGCAUCUCUUCGGCGCGACACAGUCGCCCGCUAG
rnacentral:rRNA from 1 species